UUAGGUCGGGAACUCAAAGGAGACUGCCAGUGAUAAACUGGAGGAAGGUGGGGAUGACGUCAAGUCAUCAUGGCCCUUACGACCAGGGCUACACACGUGCUACAAUGGCGCAUACAAAGAGAAGCGACCUCGCGAGAGCAAGCGGACCUCAUAAAGUGCGUCGUAGUCCGGAUUGGAGUCUGCAACUCGACUCCAUGAAGUCGGAAUCGCUAGUAAUCGUGGAUCAGAAUGCCACGGUGAAUACGUUCCCGGGCCUUGUACACACCGCCCGUCACACCAUGGGAGUGGGUUGCAAAAGAAGUAGGUAGCUUAACCUUCGGGAGGGCGCUUACCACUUUGUGAUUCAUGACUGGGGUGAAGUCGUAACAAGGUAACCGUAGGGGAACCUGCGGUUGGAUCACCUCCUUA
rnacentral:rRNA from 3 species